rnacentral:rRNA from 1 species
AGAGUUUGAUUAUGGCUCAGGAUGAACGCUAGCUACAGGCUUAACACAUGCAAGUCGAGGGGCAGCAUUGGAGUAGCAAUACUCAGAUGGGCGACCGGCGCACGGGUGAGUAACACGUAUCCAACCUGCCGCUUACUCGGGGAUAGCCUUUCGAAAGAAAGAUUAAUACCCGAUGGUAUAAAGAGUUCGCAUGUUCUCUUUAUUAAAGAAUUUCGGUAAGCGAUGGGGAUGCGUUCCAUUAGAUAGUUGGCGGGGUAACGGCCCACCAAGUCUACGAUGGAUAGGGGUUCUGAGAGGAAGGUCCCCCACAUUGGAACUGAGACACGGUCCAAACUCCUACGGGAGGCAGCAGUGAGGAAUAUUGGUCAAUGGACGCGAGUCUGAACCAGCCAAAGUAGCGUGAAGGAUGACUGCCCUAUGGGUUGUAAACUUCUUUUAUAAGGGAAUAAAGUGAGGGACGUGUCCCUUUUUGUAUGUACCUUAUGAAUAAGGAUCGGCUAACUCCGUGCCAGCCGCCGC